GGGUGGCUACUUAAAACAUGACUUGGCCUAACUCAAUGUCUUCCUAUUUCAAUCGUAACUUGGCCCAACCUGGCCUCCUAACAUAGGACAGAAUGUUGACUCAUUUAAGCCAAUAAUAUAUUAAUAUUUAUUUAUUUAAAAAUAAUUUAAAAUUUUAUUUAUUUAUAGAAAAACAUAUAAUGUGUUAGUUUUUAUUUAAUUUAAAGUGAUCUAAAAAUUUUUUGGGGGGUGGAGGCCGAGUUUACAUGAUUUUGAGGGAACCAAAUUUUAUAAUGUUUGGAACGAAUUUCCUAUAUGUUGCUUGUAUGUAAUUAAAGAGUAGAGGAGAAGUUGUGAUAUGUUGUGAGUAGACUGCCUGCUCUGAUAAUUUGUCGUAUCGUUCGUACUAAUAAUUAAUUCUGAAAAUUCGAGCAGUUAAAAAGAUGCAACCAAUUCAUUUAAAGUAUACAGACACAGCGAUCAUGGAUUUCGAUUGUAACUUGGCCCAAUCAACCUCACGCUACUUCGAACAUGACUCGAUCCAAUCCGACCUACCAUCAUUUCGAACUUGACUCAGCCCAACUUGGCCUUCUAUUGUAAGAUAGGAUGCUGACCAUUUAAGCCAACAAUAUAUUAGUAUUUAUUUAUCUUAAAGUAAUUUAAAAUUUUAUUUGAGUAAAGUUUAUACGUUUAUGUUUGUACUAGUAUAUUUAUUUGGGAAAACAUGUAAUUUGUUAGUUUUUAUUUAAUUUAAAGUGAUUUAAAAUUUUUUUUUCGGGGAGAGGCUGAGUUUACAUGUUUAUGUUUGUGUUAGUAUUUUUUUAAUUUAAAGUGAUUUAAAAUUUUUUUGGGGGAGGAUAUACGUUUAAUUUAAAAUGAUUUAAAAAGUUUAUUUUGGCCUACGAGUUUUUUGGAUA
rnacentral:lncRNA from 1 species